AAACCAUGUUGGGGGCUACGUCUGAGUAAAUACUGAAAUCUCUCCCAAGCAUUAUUUAUCGUCUCAUCCCCCAUCUGAGCAAAGUGUGAGAUCUUCAGGAUGACCUU